rnacentral:lncRNA from 1 species
AUGACAAAUGUCAGUAGCGGAGGACAAGAUAUGGGUGUUGUUCCCAGAUAUGAAGGGGAGAUGACACCAACACAGAGAAAUAGUUGCAACAUGGCAGAGAAGCCCUGCUCCUUGUGUUCAUUCAAGACUCAAGUUCUCUCAAAGUCCUUUUUUCUGACAAUGCCAAGGGCACUGUCAUCACCUGCAAGGUCUAUGCUGGAUUCCACUUUGCGGGGAUGGAUUUCCACCUUGCUGUUGGCAAGGGGAGUAAGCAAGCUCAAGCUCAAGACCUCACAGAUCACUUCUCUUCAAUUCCAUCAGCGAGAACUUGUGUAUGAGUGAGUAUUACAGCCACUCUUCCUCUUUAUUGACUACAUGGUACCCCCCAGCCUCCUAAGAAGUGGAAAAACAAGGAAUAAUCCUCCUCAAGUCAGGUGGAGUGUGAAGAAACCUGAUCAUUCUAAGCAUUCACCAACAUCAUCAUACAAAUGGUAAUUGUGUAGCUACUGCGUGUGAUGCAUUGCUGCAUGGUGUGUAAUUUCUAGGGCUCUACAGUUGUUCAACCACAUCCCCAGAGACUGACAUGAAGAGUAUACACCCUACAGUAUAAGGACACAGACAGACAGAAAGAAAGAAAGAAAGAAAG